CCCGAAAAAAAAAACUCUCUCUAAUCGAAUCGGUGUCUCCACGACGCCCCGCUCGGCGCUCGGCCUCGCUGCUCUCUCUCCCUCUCUGUCUCGGCGCCGCCGCGGCCAUCGAUCGACCUCGAAGGAGGCGCGGCCUGCAGCCUCCACCUUCGCCCAGUCAAGUUUCUAAAACAAUCACAUGUCCAAGGCACGCAACGCCUUAGUUGUCACUGGGUUGGUGAUCUUUGCUGGUACUGGCCUAGCAUUUCCCUUCUACUUUGUGAAAUCAAAGAACAGGCCUAUUAUUGAUUCAACGAAGCCUCUGCCACCGCAGGCUACUUUCCGAGGACCGUAUGUGAACACUGGAUCGCGCGACAUAGGGCCUGAUCACACCGAGUACCCCAAGAAGUGAUAUGUAUUUCCAUCUUGUUUUCUCUUUGUUUUCAGUGGGCAUGCAGAAAACCAGUGAGUGGAACCCUGUAAUGCUGAUUUAAUAGCGAGGUGGUGAUAAUCGGCUCGUGAUGCUGGGCAACGCGAUUGCAGUGCAUUAGCUUCGGUUUCAGGUGUUAUGUGCAGAGCACAUGCAUAUGUACGCAGUUCUUCAUGAAUUGUAGGCUCUUUUGAUCGUUUCCUGUGCUCCAGUGACUAUUCCUUCCAAAGCGUUGUGCCGCUAUAGGCUAUACCUAUGUUAGGCAAUAAAAAAAAUGUUGGGUUUGCGUUGCUGAAGGUGUGAGGCCAUAAAUGAUACUCCCUCCUUUUCAUACUACUCCCUCCUUUUCUAAAUAUAUGAUGUUUUGGUAGUUCAAACUGAACUAUCAAAACGUCGUACAUUUAGGAAUGGAGGGAGUAUAUUAAUUUCGUAUUAAUUCGAACUUUAUGAGAGCCAAUUUCUAGAAAAAAAAUAUCAACAUCUAAAGUACCAAUAAAUACAGUAUGAAAUUAUGUUUUUUGCAGGAAUAUGAAAAAAUGUUCCACAACGUAUCUAAUGAUAUUUUUGGUAUUGUGAAUGUUGUUUCUUUAAACCUAGUCAAACUUCACUAAUUUUGAACUACAACAAAACUAAUAUGUGAAAAUAUGAAACAGAUGGAGUACGGUAAAAAGUAAAAUGAUCAUAAUCAAGACUAAGAAGGUUUGUUAACAGUACUAUUUUGUUGCUCUUAUUAAUAUUUUCUUAAUUUAGUUUGGACAGGGGAGCUAGGUUUUACACUGAUGCCCAGAGCCUUGCAGUGUUAUCCAAUGAAUCAAGCUCUCGUAAAGCCGGAAAAAUUUACGGGAUCCUUCGGAGUUACCUGGAGCCUCCCGGGCCCAGAACCCCCGGCUAGCCUCCAAGCUUUACAGAAGGAUAGCAGCCUGCAGCAGCUCCUUCGAGUUGUGGCUGUAUGAAAUGGGAUGGCUCCGUUUCACACUACGGUGGAUUGGAGUAAUCUCAUUUGCUCAACUAGGUUUUAUAUAUUUCUCCCCUCAAAGUAAAGAAUUUGUCUAUUUUUGUUACUCCCUCCGUCCCAAAAUAAGUUAGUACAAAGUUGAGUCACUUAUUUUGGGACGAAGAGAGUAUUUGUUUGACUUGCCUUUGUUUCGUUUUACACUACUCCCUUCGUUUUGAAAUUAUUAUCGUGGUUUUAAUUGAGAUUACUAUAUAAAAUAUCUAUUGUAAAAGAGGAGUUGCUAGGUUCGCCUCA